rnacentral:rRNA from 1 species
UACGUAGGGAGCAAGCGUUGUCCGGAAUCAUUGGGCGUAAAGCGCGCGUAGGUGGCUUCGUAAGUCGGACGUGAAAUCUCCACGCUCAACGUGGAGGGGCCGUUCGAUACUGUCGUGACUCGAGUCCGGUAGGGGAGUGUGGAAUUCCCGGUGUAGCGGUGAAAUGCGCAGAGAUCAGGAGGAACACCCGUAGCGAAGGCGGCACUCUGGGCCGACACUGACGCUGAUGCGCGAAAGCCAGGGGAGCGAACGGG